CCCGGCCUUGAAAGGCCGGGCUAUUUUCGGCCCGUCCCUACGGGACG
rnacentral:sRNA from 1 species